rnacentral:lncRNA from 1 species
GUAGCUGCCUUGUGGACUGUAAACUAAGCAUCACAGUGAUUCCCUAAAUGGUAUCCUGAUGAAUUGCCAGCUUCUGCCAGGGUGCAGAGAGACCCUGGUUCAAUAAAACAAGAGAGAUAAUAGGCGAUCAGGAAGGAAUCAAAACUGUUUCCCUGAGUAAUGGCAUCCAGCAACCCCUCUGCUGAGGGAGGCAAUGAAAGAUAUUCUAAGUUAAGAAGAGAAAGUUCGAGGAAAAAUAUAAAGGCCUUAAACCCCUUAUUACUUCAGUUCAACAAGGAAUCAAGAGUAAAGUUCUUCAAAGAAUUAAUUGAAGACACCCUGGGAAGAGGGGACUGAGGUUCUGAAGUUUAUCAUAAAUCAUUCAAUGCCUUUGGCAAAGCCUUGGUGGAACUUAUGAGGCUGAGUAUUAUAAUGUAAUUUAAGUUUUCACUUAGGACUUAAUUCUGAUUCUGAUGGGAAUUUGAUCCAUGAAAGGAUUGCAGAACUGAAUCCCAACAGACAGAUUCUGUUGAUCAUGAUAAUGUUUUGCUUCCAGCAGAAAGGUGAGCUGCUGUUUUUGAACCCAAAUGAGAAGUGUUUUUGAAGCACCGUAUCUAUUCCUUUUAUACUGAUCGGGGUAAACCAAGGAGAGGAUAUGAAAUCUCUGCCUCUUCUGGAAAAAGGAUAAAUGAUAGUACAUUUAUUUGUAUAGAACUGAACUUAGAAAUCUCUUCUGAAAUCUAUAUCAAGUGUUUCUAAAUGGUAUAGGCGUGUGCAUCAGUGAUGGCUCAGUAGAUCUAAACCUGUCUGAAAAUCAGAGCAAUUGGAAAAUGUUUGUGCUCACUCACCUUCUGACAAAGGAAACAAUAACGCAGUAGGAAGCUGCAGCUAUCUUCUGACACAUUAUGUUUCCAGCCCCAAAAUGUCACAUGAAACCCACUGAAUGAAGAUGAAUGAAAACCAGCAGUGGUCCUGAAA